UUGGCCCUGAAUCAAGGCCAGCAGUUUGCUGAAGCUGUUGGUUUCAAGCAGGAGCCUAAAGAAUUAUCUUUCUAUGGUCUGUUGGCCAUUUUAUAACUUAGGAAAUGUAGUGGUCAAUGAGUCAUUUAAGGAGAAAAAAAA
rnacentral:snoRNA from 1 species